CCUAACUGUAAACGAGCAACUGUUGUUCACCUUCUUACUGUUUUGAAGAUAGUAUGUUUUAUACAGUUUUUCGUAGAACUAAUUGUAAUUAUCAACAAAGGUAGGUUUGCAGCAACCUGCGGUUUUCGGAAGGCAUACAUCCACAGCAGCGCACCAUCAACAAAACACUUCAGAAAAGGAAUCCAUGCUCUUUGGUUCAGUUCCAAUAUGUCCACACUACAUACCGUCAUACUUCAACAUACUAUUUGCGUACAAAAUCAAGAACGCUCAUAAUCCUGAAUCUUUAUUUAAUGUACCGACCGAAAGUGCCAUGUAAUCGUCAAACAUAUGAGACUGAUAAACAGGUCUACCUGGAAGCGGCUAAUGGAGAUAACGUUUAAAAAUGCAGUUUACUAUGUAUCCUCACAUAUGAAGAGUGAAAUCAUUACAGCUG